rnacentral:rRNA from 1 species
AGUGAACGCUGGCGGUAGGCCUAACACAUGCAAGUCGAACGGCAGCACAGUAAGAGCUUGCUCUUGCGGGUGGCGAGUGGCGGACGAGUGAGGAAUACAUCGGAAUCUACUUUUUCGUGGGGGAUAACGUAGGGAAACUUACGCUAAUACCGCAUACGACCUACGGGUGAAAGCAGGGGAUCUUCGGACCUUGCGCGAUUGAAUGAGCCGAUGUCGGAUUAGCUAGUUGGCGGGGGAAAGGCCCACCACGGCGACGAUCCGUAGCUGGUCUGAGAGGAUGGUCAGCCACACUGGAACUGAGACACGGUCCAGACUCCUACGGGAGGCAGCAGUGGGGAAUAUUGGACAAUGGGCGCAAGCCUGAUCCAGCCAUACCGCGUGGGUGAAGAAGGCCUUCGGGUUGUAAAGCCCUUUUGUUGGGAAAGAAAAGCAGCAGGUUAAUACCCCGCUGUUCUGACGGUACCCAAAGAAUAAGCACCGGCUAACUUCGUG